rnacentral:lncRNA from 1 species
AUUGUUCACCUGUUGGACGAUGUGGUGCUAAGCGAUGAAAAUACCCUCGGUAUUUGGAGCAAGCUUGUCGUGCACGUUGUCACCGAACAGAGCACAUACACGGACGAAGGUGUGCGCACAGUCGCUUCCCUUGCGCUGGCUAAACUGAUGACAAUCAACGCCGACUUCUGUGAGCAGCACUUGGCACUGCUGUUCGACAUCAUGGAGAACUCGCCAGAUCCGUGAUCCGCACCAACCUGGUCGUGGCUGUGGGUGACCUCAUGGUCCGCUUUCCUAAUCUGCUGUACACCUGGACAGAGAAGGUCUACGCUCGGUUGCAAGAUCCAUCGCGGGAUGUCAAGAUGGGCACAUUAAAAACGGUCAUCUUCCUCAUUUUGAACGACAUGAUUAAGGUCAAAGGUCAGAUCAGUGACAUUGCCGCCAUGGUCAUGGACGAGGACGCCGAACUUGCAGACAUGUGCCGGAACUUCUUCUUUGAACUCGGGA